CCUACGGGCGGCAGCAGUGGGGAAUAUUGGACAAUGGGCGAAAGCCUGAUCCAGCCAUGCCGCGUGUGUGAAGAAGGCCUUCGGGUUGUAAAGCACUUUCAGUGGGGAAGAAAGCCUUGGGGCUAAUACCCUCGAGGAAGGACAUCACCCACAGAAGAAGCACCGGCUAACUCCGUGCCAGCAGCCGCGGUAAUACGGAGGGUGCGAGCGUUAAUCGGAAUUACUGGGCGUAAAGCGCGCGUAGGCGGUCUGAUAAGCCGGUUGUGAAAGCCCCGGGCUCAACCUGGGAACGGCAUCCGGAACUGGCAGGCUAGAGUGCAGGAGAGGAAGGUAGAAUUCCCGGUGUAGCGGUGAAAUGCGUAGAGAUCGGGAGGAAUACCAGUGGCGAAGGCGGCCUUCUGGACUGACACUGACGCUGAGGUGCGAAAGCGUGGGUAGCAAACAGGAUUAGAUACCCCUGUAGUC
rnacentral:rRNA from 1 species